AGAAGUGUGAGAAAGAAGGUUGAGAGAAAGUUUGAGAGAGAAAACUGAAUAGCCGGAGUCUUCGUCGGAGAGUCACCGACGAAAUCCAUUCCCUACUAAGACCUACACUCUGGAGUCCUUCUUGGAGAGAAGAAAGAACUCGUGUUGUUGAGAUUUCCACCUCUUUCGUCAAGAUCAGAAAGAAAACCCGCAAGGGAAGAUCCGCCACUGAUUUUGUGAGGAAAUCGGACGAAACGUCGAGAUCUGAGAAUCUUUCCAAGAAAGGAGGAGAGAGAAGCCGACGGCGUGCCACGUGUCAACCGGCUAGAGGACUGCGUGCACCAAC